UACGUAGGUGGCGAGCGUUGUCCGGAUUGACUGGGCGUAAAGCGCACGCAGGCGGGGGUGCGCGUGGGGUGUGAAAUCUGGCUGCUUAACGGCCAGGCGCCAUCCCAUACGGCACGCCUGGAGCCUUGCAGAGGUCGGUGGAAUUGCCGGUGUAGUGGUGAAAUGCGUAGAGAUCGGGAGGAACACCCAGGGGGAAACCAGCCGACUGGGCAAGUGCUGACGCUGAGGUGCGAGAGCGUGGGGAGCGAACCGG
rnacentral:rRNA from 1 species